GUGCUUGCUAUGGUAGCUCAUAUACUAAAAUUGGAACUAUACAGAGAGGAUCAGAACAGCUCCUGUGCAAAGAUUGAAUGAUAAUUCAUAAAUCAUUCUAUAUUUUG